rnacentral:rRNA from 1 species
CCUACGGGAGGCUGCAGUGGGGAAUAUUGGACAAUGGGCGAAAGCCUGAUCCAGCCAUGCCGCGUGUGUGAAGAAGGCCUUCGGGUUGUAAAGCACUUUCAGUGGGGAAGAAAGCCUUGGGGCUAAUAACCUCGAGGAAGGACAUCACCCACAGAAGAAGCACCGGCUAACUCCGUGGCCAGCAGCCGCGGUAAUACGGAGGGUGCGAGCGUUAAUCGGAAUUACUGGGCGUAAAGCGCGCGUAGGCGGUCUGAUAAGCCGGUUGUGAAAGCCCCGGGCUCAACCUGGGAACGGCAUCCGGAACUGUCAGGCUAGAGUGCAGGAGAGGAAGGUAGAAUUCCCGGUGUAGCGGUGAAAUGCGUAGAGAUCGGGAGGAAUACCAGUGGCGAAGGCGGCCUUCUGGACUGACACUGACGCUGAGGUGCGAAAGCGUGGGUAGCAAACAGGAUUAGAUACCCCAGUAGUC